GAUCCUGGCUCAGGAUGAACGCUAGCUACAGGCUUAACACAUGCAAGUCGAGGGGCAUCAGUUUGGUUUGCUUGCAAACCAAAGCUGGCGACCGGCGCACGGGUGAGUAACACGUAUCCAACCUACCUCAUACUCGGGGAUAGCCUUUCGAAAGAAAGAUUAAUAUCCGAUAGCAUAUAUUUCCCGCAUGGGUUUUAUAUUAAAGAAAUUCGGUAUGAGAUGGGGAUGCGUUCCAUUAGUUUGUUGGGGGGUAACGG
rnacentral:rRNA from 1 species